rnacentral:rRNA from 1 species
AGGUCAAGCUAAUAAGGGCUAACGGUGGAUACCUAGGCACACGGAAGCGAAGAAGGACGUAGUUACCGACGAAACGCUUCGGGGAGCGGGAAGCAAGCAUUGAUCCGAAGAUAUCCGAAUGGGGCAACCCUAAACACGACCACCUGAAUACAUAGGGUGGAGCGAGCAAACCUGGUGAACUGAAACAUCUUAGUAGCCAGAGGAAAAGAAAGCAACAGCGAUUCCCCCAGUAGCGGCGAGCGAAAAGGGAACAGCCUAAACCAAGUUCUUCGGAACUUGGGGUCGUGGGACAGUAACAAAAGACUGGGAAAUUUAGACGAAGCGGCUGAAAACCGCACCAGAGAGGGUGAAAGUCCUGUAGUCGAAAAAGGAACCAGCUUAACUGCAUCCCGAGUAGCAUGGGGCACGUGAAAUCCCGUGUGAAUCUGCCUCGACCACGAGGUAAGGCUAAAUAUUCCCGUGUGACCGAUAGAGAAACAGUACCGCGAGGGAAAGGUGAAAAGAACCCCGGAAGGGGAGUGAAAUAGAACAUGAAACCGUUAGCCUACAAGCAAUGGGAGGACGAUUGAACGUCUGACCGUGUGCCUGUUGAAGAAUGAGCCGGCGACUUACAGGUUAUGGCAGGUGAAGGGGGAAGACCCCACAGCCCUAGCGAAAGCGAGUCUGAAUAGGGCGAAACGUCAUAAUUUGUAGACCCGAACCCGGGUGAUCUAACCAUGGCCAGGAUGAAGCUUGGGUAAAACCAAGUGGAGGUCCGAACCGACUAAUGUUGAAAAAUUAGCGGAUGAGCUGUGGUUAGGGGUGAAAUGCCAAUCGAACUCGGAGCUAGCUGGUUCUCCCCGAAAUGUGUUGAGGCGCAGCGGUAGUGGAAGUUUAGUCGGGGUAAAGCACUGUUUCGCCGCGGGCUGGGAGACCGGUACCAAGGCGAGGCAAACUCUGAAUACGGCUAAAAAAACUACCAGUGAGACGGUGGGGGAUAAGCUUCAUCGUCAAGAGGGAAACAGCCCAGACCACCAGCUAAGGUCCCCAAAUGAUAACUAAGUGAGAAAGGAGGUGGGAGUGCAUUGACAACCAGGAGGUUUGCCUAGAAGCAGCAAUCCUUAAAAGAGUGCGUAAUAGCUCACUGGUCAAGCGCUCCUGCGCCGAAAAUGAACGGGGCUAAGUUAUCUACCGAAGCUGUGGACUACAUUGUAGUGGUAGGGGAGCGUUCUAUAGGGGGUGAAGCAGUAGCGGCAAGCAGCUGUGGACUCUAUAGAAGUGAGAAUGUCGGCUUAAGUAGCGAAAAUGUGGGUGAGAAUCCCACACCCCGAAACCCCAAGGUUUCCUCCGCAAGGCUCGUCCGCGGAGGGUCAGUCAGGACCUAAGGCGAGGCUGAAAAGCGUAGUCGAUGGACAACGGGUUAACAUUCCCGUACCGAUUAAUGAUUGUGCCGGAGAACGGAGAAGGUCAACGUCAGCUGGAUGUUGGUUACCAGUGCAAGCAGUCGAGGCGAUGAGAGGUGGAGAAAACACCAGGAGCUAAGACGCGAGUCCCACCUCCCACGGGAGGGAAGUGGCGUUGAUCAAGCUUCCUAGAAAAGCCCGAACCACGUUAAUCAUUAAUUGCCUGUACCCGAAACCGACACAGGUGGGGAAGUAGAGAAUACUAAGGGGCGCGAGAUAACUCUCUCUAAGGAACUCGGCAAAAUGACCCCGUAACUUCGGGAGAAGGGGUACCCUCGCAAGAGGGUCGCAGUGAAUAGGCCCAGGCGACUGUUUACCAAAAACACAGGUCUCCGCCAAGUCGUAAGACGCAGUAUGGAGGCUGACGCCUGCCCAGUGCCGGAAGGUUAAGGAAGUUGGUCAGGAGUAAUCUGAAGCUGACGACCGAAGCCCCGGUGAACGGCGGCCGUAACUAUAACGGUCCUAAGGUAGCGAAAUUCCUUGUCGGGUAAGUUCCGACCCGCACGAAAGGCGUAACGAUCUGGGCACUGUCUCGGAGAGAGACUCGGCGAAAUAGGAUUGUCUGUGAAGAUACGGACUACCUGCACCUGGACAGAAAGACCCUAUGAAGCUUUACUGUAGCCUGGAAUUGGCUUCGGGCUUCGCUUGCGCAGGAUAGGUGGGAAGCUUUGAAACUCUCCUCGUGGGGAGGGUGGAGCUAACGGUGAGAUACCACUCUGGCGAGGCUAGAAUUCUAACCCUGACCCCUAAUCGGGGCGGGAGACAGUUUCAGGUGGGCAGUUUGACUGGGGCGGUCGCCUCCUAAAAGGUAACGGAGGCGCGCAAAGGUUCCCUCGGUCCCGUUGGAAAUGGGACGAUAGAGUGCAAAAGCAGAAGGGAGCUUGACUGUGAGACCCACAAGUCGAACAGGGACGAAAGUCGGCUUUAGUGAUCCGACGGCACCGCGUGGAAGGGCCGUCGCUCAACGGAUAAAAGUUACUCUAGGGAUAACAGGCUGAUCUCCCCCAAGAGUUCACAUCGACGGGGAGGUUUGGCACCUCGAUGUCGGCUCAUCGCAACCUGGGGCUGAAGUCGGUCCCAAGGGUUGGGCUGUUCGCCCAUUAAAGCGGUACGUGAGCUGGGUUCAGAACGUCGUGAGACAGUUCGGUCCAUAUCCGGUGUAGGCGUAAGAGCAUUGCGAGGAGCCUUCCUUAGUACGAGAGGACCGGGAAGGACGCACCGCUGGUGUACCUGUUAUCGUGCCAACGGUAAACGCAGGGUAGCCAUGUGCGGAGCGGAUAACCGCUGAAAGCAUCUAAGUGGGAAGCCCACCUCCAGAUGAUUGCUCUCAUGGCAUUAAGCCAGUAAGGUCUCGGGUAGACUACCCGUUGAUAGGCUCUAGAUGGAAGCUCGGUAACGAGUGCAGUCGAGGAGUACUAACCGACCGAGGGCUUGACCUG